CGACUGGCAGAGAUGCCUUUCUUCCCUUCGGGACCGUACACACAGGUGCUGCAUGGCUGUCGUCAGCUCGUGUCGUGAGAUGUUGGGUUAAGUCCCGCAACGAGCGCAACCCUCGACUUUAGUUACCAUCAUUAAGUUGGGUACUUUAAAGUAACCGCCGGUGAUAAGCCGGAGGAAGGUGGGGGAUGACGUCAAGUCCUCAUGGCCCUUACGCGCUGGGCUACACACGUGCUACAAUGGCAAGUACAGUGGGCAGCAAUCCCGCGAGGGUGAGCUAAUCUCCAAAACUUGUCUCAGUUCGGAUUGUUCUCUGCAACUCGAGAGCAUGAAGGCGGAAUCGCUAGUAAUCGCGGAUCAGCAUGCCGCGGUGAAUACGUUCCCAGGCCUU
rnacentral:rRNA from 1 species